UGGGGAAUAUUGCACAAUGGGCGCAAGCCUGAUGCAGCCAUGCCGCGUGUGUGAAGAAGGCCUUCGGGUUGUAAAGCACUUUCAGCGAGGAGGAAGGUGGUGAGCUUAAUACGCUCAUCAAUUGACGUUACUCGCAGAAGAAGCACCGGCUGACUCCGUGCCAGCAGCCGCGGUAAUACGGAGGGUGCAAGCGUUAAUCGGAAUUACUGGGCGUAAAGCGCACGCAGGCGGUUUGUUAAGUCAGAUGUGAAAUCCCCGGGCUCAACCUGGGAACUGCAUUUGAAACUGGCAAGCUAGAGUCUCGUAGAGGGGGGUAGAAUUCCAGGUGUAGCGGUGAAAUGCGUAGAGAUCUGGAGGAAUACCGGUGGCGAAGGCGGCCCCCUGGACGAAGACUGACGCUCAGGUGCGAAAGCGUGGGGCAGCAAACAGGAUUAGAUACCCUGGUAGUCCACGCUGUAAACGAUGUCGAUUUGGAGGUUGUGCCCUUGAGGCGUGGCUUCCGGAGCUAACGCGUUAAAGUCGACCGCCUGGGGAGUACGGCCGCAAGGUUAAAACUCAAAGGAAUUGAC
rnacentral:rRNA from 1 species